rnacentral:rRNA from 1 species
UAGUGAGACUGCCGGUGACAAACCGGAGGAAGGUGGGGAUGACGUCAAGUCCUCAUCGGUCCCUUAUGGGUAGGGCUUCACACGUCAUACAAUGGUCGGUACAGAGGGUUGCCAAGCCGCGAGGUGGAGCCAAUCCCUUAAAGCCGAUCGUAGUCCGGAUCGUAGUCUGCAACUCGACUACGUGAAGUCGGAAUCGCUAGUAAUCGCAGAUCAGCAUGCUGCGGUGAAUACGUUCCCGGGUCUU